UUGGUGUAGUUAGUUGCCAUC
rnacentral:siRNA from 1 species